rnacentral:rRNA from 1 species
CUGGCGGCGUGCCUAACACAUGCAAGUCGUACGAGAAAGUCGGCUUCGGCCGAUGAGUACAGUGGCGCACGGGUGAGUAACGCGUGGGUAAUCUGCCCCCCGGUCAGGAAUAACCCGCCGAAAGGCGGGCUAAUACCCGAUAACACUGACACUCUGCGGAGUGUCUUUCAAAGAAGGCCUCUGUUUACAAGCUUUCACCGGAGGAUGAGCCCGCGUACCAUUAGCUAGUUGGCAGGGUAAUGGCCUACCAAGGCAACGAUGGUUAGCUGGUCUGAGAGGAUGGCCAGCCACACUGGAGCUGAGACACGGUCCAGACUCCUACGGGAGGCAGCAGUGAGGAAUCUUGCGCAAUGGGGGAAACCCUGACGCAGCAACGCCGCGUGAGUGAGGAAAAGGCUUUCGGGUCGUAAAGCUCUGUCAGAUGGGAAGAAAUGGUUGGAAGUUAAUACCUUCCAUCCUUGACGGUACCAUCAGAGGAAGCACCGGCUAACUCCGUGCCAGCAGCCGC